ensembl:lncRNA
UCCCGUUUGGCCGUCUAAUAGCACUUGGCAAUUAUGAGCCUUUGCAGGGCAUGUAUGGUAUUACCAGGACUGGCUACCAGCGAGGUGAGAUGGAGGUAGAGAAGAAGGCACGGCUCCAGAAUUCCUCCUCUUGACCAUUUCCUUUUCCUCCUCAUCAUCAUCAUCUUCUUCUUCUUUGGUGUUUCCUCAGAGAGAGUCUUUACAGUGUCAGGUACGGUACAAACUUAACUAUGAAUUUCAUAUUAAACUGCACCUUUAUUUUAACUCAGAAAUACAUUUACAAUAUAAAAGAAAAUAAGCAAAAAAUACUAGGUAAUAAGAAACACAGAUAAGACGAAGAGUUAAAAAUGACAAGUUAAUGAGCUUUAAUGCAGCUGUAAAAUGGUUACAACAGCUGUAUACUACUAACUCUAAGUAGGUUAUUAAGUAUCUAGUGCUGGAAAAGAUUACAAAGAUGUCAGUAAUACAGAAAAAAUAGUUUGAUUUCCCAUUUUACACAAUAAUUGUACACACAUCGCUGUUUGAUGAAAACCAUGUGUCUCCAAAUUUUUGGAUGUUAAAAUUGUCAGAAAAACCAAAGGAUGAAGGGUUUCUUUAUGGGCUGAGAAAUAUUUUAGACUAAAUAAACAAUUUAAAAACCCAUAAAACCCAUCAGAUUAUCUGAUCAUAGUUCAUGAAAAGUUGAUGUUCCGCAGAGACAUGGUGUGUACUGUUUUGGCUGUUAGUCUUGAUGCAAUAUGUGCACUGAUGGCUGUCAAUCAUACUGUGACUGUCAAUUAAACUAACACACAACUGAAAUGUUUUUCCAAAGAUUUAAUAGUAUUGUUUUUCUAGAUCUUUGUCAGCAGCUGUGAACAGCAGCUUCCUCUGUGCACUGCCGGACAAAAGUGUACAUCAAGAUUAAACUACAGAAUCAAGUGUUUUUUGAUAGUACAGUAAGUGGGGCGACGGAGGCGAACGCUGGUGCAUUAUACAUCAAAGGCCAGCAGCACACGCACCGACGGAGGAACACGCCUGAAAUAAAAGGCCAGCAAAAAAACAAACACCGCCCUUUGUUCUGGGGGCUGAGGUCUGUUUCGCCCAUGAUUAGAGAAAAGAGCGAGGGAAGAGGAGGCUGCGAGUGUGCGGACGACGUAAUGAGCGGCCAUAUUUGCUUCAUCAGGUUCUUUGAGAAGGAUCUGUAACAGUGAAAGAACCGGAGGGUGUCAGUCAGCAGAGGCCCAGCAGCCAGGAAAUGUUACUGUGGUGGGGUUGCGAUGGUGGCACGACAUAGCUAAUCACUAAUUGCUGAUUAGCUCUUCCGUGCAUAGAGAUAGCUGCUGGAGACGGAGCGUGGCUGCUGGAGUUAGGUAAGAUUUUUCAUUAGUUUUGCAAUGACAAAAAUAUAAGUUUCAGCUUGUAUCCAGUUCCGUUAAAGCUUUUACACUAGCUGUAUUAAGCAGUGUGAUUUAUGUACAGCAUGCUAAUUUGCAAUGUGACUUUAUGAUGACAAUUCUUGAAAUUAGCAUCUGAUUUACGAAAGUAGCAGCUAAUUAAGUAAUCUGCGACUGGGACUUCCUUCUGGAUGAAUUUGCUGAACUGAUAAAGACCUACAUGGGCACAUUAGUGGAGUUUGCCCAAAAACAAUGAAGCCACCCGCAGAAGAAGAAAAAAAAAACAGGAAAAUGUAGUGAUGCUAAAAUGUUGAUCAAUGAGGAAAUAUUGCAAGAUCUAAUAAUCAUCAAGGUCACUACGCAAAGUUCAAGAAAGCUGAUGGCAGAUUCCUGCAGGAGCUGGUUCAACAGACGCCAUACAAGGACAGAAUGAGGACGGCUCUGUUAUGACUUUUAAAAAUGAUUUUGGUUAAUGUUGUGAUGCUCUUGUGUCUCCUGUCACUGCUAUUUUUUGUCCCAAACGGCCCUCAGACAAAGUUGGUGGCUAGCUAGUGAAUAUAAUAGAGCAUUUAGCAGUUAAAGAGCCAGAUAUUUCCCUCAGGAGUUGGUGGAGACCAAAACAGAGCUGGAAGGAGACUGAAUAUCUGAAUAUAUAGUAACAUUUGUCAGGUGAUUUGGAUUGUGACUCAAACUAAAUACUAAUGUUGCUUGGGUGUAUAAAUGGCAACUGUUAGAUAACAUGUUUGCCACCCUACCGAAGUGUGUCUUGUAGUCUUUCCUAGGGAAAAAACGAUUGGCACACAAGAAGUAUUCAGAUUAUCUGGAAUGACCAGGAGAACUUGAAACUAAAAACAAGGCACUAGGUCUACACAACUGUAUUCUUGCUCACCACAUUCAAGCAGCAGGAAGGUGAAACCUAGGGCCCAACUUUGUAUCAACCAGCAUCUGUCCUACCGAAGUGUCAAUGAGCAAGAAAUAGAAUCCAAUCAACUCCAGAGGCACUAGAAUAUAGCUGAACCUGACCUUUGAACUCCAUACUGAAGGUAGGCUUGGUUGGUAGGUAGGACUUCCGGGCAGUGAUGCAUCCAAAGUCUCUUGAAAGCUCACAUCGGAUUUAAACUAGUUUACAUUUUCAGUGUUAGAAAUUAAAGGCAUGUUGACAGUUUGAUUGCUGUGUAAAUAAAAAAAAUAAUUAUCCAGCAAUAUAUUUCAUCUUUUAAAUAAACAAAACAAAUCUCAAACAUCUGAAUUCUCACUUCUUUGAUCUUUAAACGGUACAG